CCCCCGGCAUCUAAAGGGCCCUACGCUGCCAAUCUGCAAAGUUGCUUCUGCUGCUGCUGUUUCAGGACCUCAUCCGAAACCCUGGGUAGCGAGGGCGGCGGCAGCAGCCUGCAGCACGGGCGAACGCUGUGCCCAGAGCAGAGCGCCUCAGCUCGCUCCUCUGCGCCAGCAGGAGCCAGCCUAAGAGUGAGAAGCCAGCAAAUGCGGGGAGCGGGAAGCAUGCUGAUGCCCCGGCAGCGAGCAGCUGUCGGCCGGGAAAGGUGCGGCAGGGUUCGGGCAUGGUGCGCUAACCGCCAGAUGCCCGCUCCAGCAGCGCUGCGCGCGUUCCACCGGUUGUGCCCGAAGGACCGCGCCGGGGCAGGCAGGCGGACCCAAGGCAGGAGACCCUGCGAAAUCACAGAAACAUCGCAUUGGAAAAGACCCUUGGGAUCCAAGUCCAACUGAUAACCCUGCUCUACAAGGUUCACCUCUAAACCAUAUCCUCCAGCACCACAUCCAAACAAUCUUUAAACAUGUUCAGGCUUGAUGACUCAGCCACCUCCCUGGGCAGCCAUUCCAAUGCCUGACCACUCCUUCUGUGAAUUUUUUUUCCCUAAUGUCCAGUCUAAACCUACUCAGUUGCAGCUUGAGGCCAUUCCCCCUUGAUCUAUCACUAUUUACCUGUGAGAAGAGACCAGCAUCAACCUCUCCACAACGUCCUUUCAGUGCUUCAUCCAAGCAUUUUGCUUCCUUAAAACACAAGCAAAUGGAUGCAUAGUACAAGGUAUGAGUCUGAGUAAUAAAUUCUUCUGCCUAAGAAGGAUUACUAAGAGGAUUUCUUUCCACCAAUAAAGAGAGUUCCUAGUUCUGCAUUUAGAGCAUCAUCAGGAAUGACACCAUCCUCCAUGAACUCAUCUCCAAGCUUCUUCCACCAUGGCCAGCGAGUGUACUUCAGCAAAGUGUUAUG